rnacentral:tRNA from 1 species
GCCCCUAUAGUAUAGUUUGGAUAGAAUGCAACCCCGCGGAGGUUGAGACCCAGGUUCAAAUCCUGGUGGGGGCA